AUUGAACGCUGGCGGCAGGCUUAACACAUGCAAGUCGAGCGGAGAUGAGGUGCUUGCACCUUAUCUUAGCGGCGGACGGGUGAGUAAUGCUUAGGAAUCUGCCUAUUAGUGGGGGACAACAUUCCGAAAGGAAUGCUAAUACCGCAUACGUCCUACGGGAGAAAGCAGGGGAUCUUCGGACCUUGCGCUAAUAGAUGAGCCUAAGUCGGAUUAGCUAGUUGGUGGGGUAAAGGCCUACCAAGGCGACGAUCUGUAGCGGGUCUGAGAGGAUGAUCCGCCACACUGGGACGGAGACACGGCCCAGACUCCUACGGGAGGCAGCAGUUGGGAAUAUUGGACAAUGGGGGGAACCCUGAUCCAGCCAUGCCGCGUGUGUGACGAAGGCCUUAUGGUUGUAAAGCACUGUAAGCGAGGAGGAGGCUACUGAGACUAAUACUCUUGGAUAGUGGACGUUACUCGCAGAAUAAGCACCGGCUAACUCUGUGCCAGCCGCCGCCGUAACAC
rnacentral:rRNA from 1 species